rnacentral:rRNA from 1 species
CAUUUUUUGACUUUGAAGGCGGGGAUAAAAACCUGCCUUUGAAAUUCACAAAAACUCUUUGUUUAUAUUAAUGGAUGUUUAUCUGCCGCAAGGCGAAAUCAAAUACAACUUUUAACAACGGAUCUCUUGGCUCUCGCAUCGAUGAAGAACGCAGCGAAAUGCGAUAAGUAAUGUGAAUUGCAGAAUUCAGUGAAUCAUCGAAUCUUUGAACGCACCUUGCGCUCCCUGGUAUUCCGGGGAGCACACCUGUUCGAGUGUCAUGGAACUCUCAAACAAGAUAGAUUUGUUUCUAUCUCUGUUUGGAUUUGGACUUUGCUGCGUCAAUGCAGCUGGUCUGAAAUGUAUUAGCUGAUCCUAGUGAAGGGUCUGGUUCUACUCGGCAUGAUAAUUAUCUUAUGUUGAGGACGGUCUCAGGACUGGCCAGAUUUUUCUGUGGGUUGCUUCUAAUUGUCUUUGGACAAAUUAUCUAGUAUUUGACCUCGAAUCAGGUGGGACUACCCGCUGAACUUAAGCAUAUCAAUAAGCGGAGGAAAAGAAACUAACAAGGAUUCCCCUAGUAACGGCGAGUGAAGCGGGAUGAGCUCAAAUUUAAAAUCUGGUAGUUCUUGUUGGCUGCCCGAAUUGUAAUCUAGAGAAGCGUUUUCCGCGCUGGACUGUGUACAAGUUUCCUGGAUAUGGAACAUCAUAGAGGGUGAGAAUCCCGUCCUUGACACAGACUCCCAGUGCUUUG